rnacentral:rRNA from 1 species
UACAGAGGGUGCGAGCGUUAAUCGGAAUUACUGGGCGUAAAGCGUGCGUAGACGGUUAUAUAAGUCGGGGGUGAAAGCCUGUGGCUCAACCACGGAAUUGCCUUCGAUACUGUAGAGCUUGAGACCGGAAGAGGUAAGUGGAACUGCGAGUGUAGAGGUGAAAUUCGUAGAUAUUCGCAAGAACACCAGUGGCGAAGGCGGCUUACUGGUCCGGUUCUGACGCUGAGGCGCGAAAGCGUGGGGAGCAAACAGG